rnacentral:rRNA from 1 species
ACGUCAAAUCAUCAUGCCCCUUAUGACCUGGGCUACACACGCGCUCCAAUGGAUGGUACAAAGGGCUGCAAGACCGCGAGGUCAACCCAAUCCCAUAAACCCAUUCUCAGUUCGGAUUGUAGGCUGCAACUCGCCUACAUGAAGCUGGAAUCGCUAGUAAUCGCGGAUCAGCAUCCCGCGGUGAAUACGUUCCCGGGCCUUGUACACACCGCCCGUCACACCACGAGAGUUUGUAACACCCGAAGUCGGUGGAGUAACCGUAAGGAGCUAGCCGCCUAAGGUGGACAGAUUGGGGGACA